UCAUAUCCUAGGGCAGCAGACUUUCGGCUUCCUUGUGCGAUCAUUCACUCCACAUCCAUUGUCUUUGAAGCUUUAGGGUUUCAUAUAAGCAAGGCUUAUCCGUUUUACCAACUUAGAGUGCCGAUUCCUUGGGAGAUUUUCAUCAAUUUCAUCCCUAAAUAAACCUGUGCAUUCAUUAAAAUGAUAGCCAAUAAAAAAAUUUCAAAUCAUAUUCUGUUUAUAAAAAAAUAAAAAAAAAAUAAAAUAUUAUUAAUUGACAAAAAAAAAGAAAUAUAUAUUUUACAUUGUUAGUGCCGUCAGCAAAAAUCUAAACCCUAAACAUAAAGCUCUAAAUCCUAACCAUAAAGCUCUAAAUCCUAGAGCUUAGGAUAUAGAAUUUAGGAUUUUGCCGAC
rnacentral:lncRNA from 1 species